rnacentral:tRNA from 1 species
GCACUUAGCAUACCAAGACGUAGCUAUAACGUAAAAGCACUCAGCUUACACCUGAAAGAUACCUGCCACACACCAGGUCGUCUUGA